GCUUAGACUGUGCAGUCCAACAGACUGUGCAGUCCGACCCUAGCCAAUGGGGGAGUGACACAGCAGUAGAGGCUACCUGCAUCAGGAAUAAGAACCUCUUCCCCUCCUCUGUCCAGGUGUGCUCUCGCCAUUGUUCCAUCUGCAAGGAGCACUCUUUCUGCAGAAGACAGGGACCUAUUCUCCUCUGGGGGUAGUCUCCAGUCCUCUCUCCUAAGGAGGUGCCCUGCUGCCUCAUUGCUGUGGCCUCAGCGGUGAGGAAUUGAGACCCACCUGCUGUGCUGAAUAAACCCGGACUCUCAGCAAUGCGGAAAGAAACCGGCUGGUGACCUGAAGUAAAGGAUCCUCACAUACUACGUGGACCAGACAACCUCGUGCACAAGCCAAGGAAGGAAACACUGGAGGAGCUGAACUAAAGGUCUUUCAGCACAGGUGCCACCCCUAGCAUUUCCAGCACACCAGCAUCAGCCUGGGGACCACGUCGUUGUCAAAAGUUAGAGAGAAGGAAAACUUGAACUGGCAAAGGACCUUACCUAGUGCUCCUAACUACCGAAAUGGCAGUCUGGACAGCAGAAAAAGGAUGGACCCAUCACACCCAAGUCAAGAAAGUGCUGCCCCCUCCAGAGUCAUGGGCCGUAGUCCCAGGAGAAAACCCUAUCAAACUAAAGAUAAGAAAAAUUUAACUCCUUUCAUCUAUUCUGUUACUCCUUCUUCUUUCCUUGCUCUAUUGCUGACUACCUAGUUAUUAAUGUAACCAAGUCAAUUUUGCCUCAAACUAUUACAUUUGAUGGUUGCCUUGUUAUACCCUGUGGAGAUUUGCCAAGUUAGGGGCAACUCUCCACUUCAGAAAACUAUCUUUAUCCUUCCUAGCUCUCCUCAGACUAAAAAUCUGUUAACUGGGAUAAGUUAGUUUGAGAAGAGUUUGAUGAAGAUUCCAGUAUAAACUGGAAAUCUUGUCCUCCUAGAGCAGAGCUUCUCUGCCAAACUUGGCUCAAUGCUCUAUAAAAUACUAAAGAGCAAGGAUGGACCACACUAACUAGUACUUGCAGUUUCUUAAAACCAUAUAUUCAUUUUACUAAAGGAGCUAUCCCUCCCCACUGUCAGCUAAACCAAUGUAAUCCAGUACAGAUUACCAUCUCUGUUCCCCAGAGUUCUUCCCCUUCAUUAAACCAUUUCUAUGGUAUAGGAGCAGAAGUCUCAGGAUCCUUUGAAAUGUGCUUCAUUUCCUCCUCACUUCCUGUACCCUUUUCUCCCUCUCCUAAGUUCUCCUCUAACCAACAUUCUCUUGUUAUAUACCCAAUGAUAAAACCAAACUAGUUGUUGUAGAGGUUAACUAUUUAAAACAAACUAUAGCAAUUGAAACAGGGUAUCAGGAUGCAAAUGCUUGGCUGGAAUGGAUAAAAUAUUCUGUUUGCACGAUAAACAAAAGUGACUGUAACGCUUGUGCGAUAGGCAGGCCAGAGACCCAGAUUGUUCCCUUUCCACUUGGGUGGUCCUCUCAGGGACCUGGCAUGAGCUGUAUGGUAGCUGUCUUCCAGAACCCCACAGCCUGGGGCGAUGAGUCAUGCAAGGCUCUUUUACUGCUGUUCUCUGAGGUUAAGAGCCCUGUGGGUCAGCCCUCAAGGGCCUUCUGGCCUCCAGCCCCUGAUGUUAACUUCACCUCAUUCCUUUCACAGCAGGGGAAAAAGUUAGCAUUCCUUGAAGAUUUAACAGGGUGCAGUGUAACCAAGCCUUUCCAAGAGCUUACCAAUCAGUCUGUCCUUGUUCAUCCCUGAGCAUAAGUGUGGUGGUAUCAUGGGGGACUAUUGCUGGAUACUCUGCCAAGUUAUUAGAGCAGCACUUGUGCUCUAGUCCAAUUCACCAUCCCUUUCACUCUAGCAUUUCAUCAACAUGAUUACAAAAAAAGAGAGAAAAUCAUAAAAGAAGAAGUGCCCUAUAUGGGUCCUUUGACCCCCAUGUUUAUGUAAAUGCUAUUAGAGCUCAAUGAGGAGUGCCAGAUGAAUUUAAAGCCCAUGAUCAAAUAGCUUCAGGAUUUCAGUCAAUAUUCUAGUGGGUAAAAAUUAAUAAAAAUGUAGACUGGAUGAAUUACAUCUAUUAUGAUCAACAGUGGUUUAUUAACUACACUAGAGAUGCUGCUAAAGAAAUAGCAAUGCAAUUAGGGGCUACUAGCCAGAUGGCUUGGGAAAAUAGAAUAGCCUUAGACAUUAUAUCAGCAGCAGAAGGAGGAGGAGUUUGCAUCAUGAUUAAAACUCAAUAUUGUACCUUCAUCCCAAACAAUACUGCCCCUGAUGGAAGUAUAACAAGGCAUUGCAAGGUCUAACUGCUCUGUCCAAUGAGUUAACCAAAAACUCAGCGGUAAGUGACCCCUUUAAAAGGUGCCUAGAAAAAUCAUUCAGUAAAUGGAAAAAAAAAAUCAUAGCCUCAGUUCUUACUUCUCUCACAGCCAUAGUAGGCGUAUUCAUUCUUGUUGGGUGUUUUGUCAUACCAUGCAUCCGUGGGCUGGUUCACAGACUCAUACAGGCAGCACUUACUAAAACCUCCCUUAAUUCUCCUCCACCUUAUUCAGAGAAGCUUUUUCUUUUAGAGAAUCAUGCAGAACAACUAAGCCAAGACAUUUUAAGGAAGUUUGAAGAGAAGGAACUGUAAAAAUUCAAGAUGAAGAACUGUUAAAUAUAGUGAACCCCAAGUUUCUAUUCAAAGAAUCAGUAUGUCAGUAUGUUCAGCUCUCUUAUUGAUUCUCCAUUUUAAAGUUUAACUUCCUGGUUCCCUUUGCCCCCUCCCUUCUAAUUUCAGUAAACAACUUUCCCACCAGUCCUAAUCAGUAGUUCACAUCUCUUCCCCUGGUCACCUGCUUUGAUAUGACUCACCCCUGGUCACCUGCUCCAUCCUGACUCAUCCUGAGCCACCAGUUCUGUAACUGCCCUUCCUGCCAAACUACAUGCCUCACCACUCUGGCUCAUACUCCUGCUCUUUUUUAAAAUAGCCAGUUGGAAUUGCUUAGACUGUGCAGUCCAACCUAGCCAAUAGGGGAAUGACACAGCAGUAAAGGCUAUCUCCAUCAGGAAUAAUAACCUCUUCUCCUCCUCUGUCCAGGUGUGCUCUCACCAUUGUUCCAUCUGCAAGGAGCACUCUUUCUGCAGAAAGUAAAAAUUGCCUUGCCGAGAAAAUUAAAUUUAUGUUUGAGUGCUAUUUCUUUGUGACACCAGGGAAAAAGCAUUUUGCAUUUCUAAUGUAAGGGAGAUGUGAGAAUAAGAGUCAGUAGUAGGAGUAGGAGAUGUGACAACAGAAGCAAGUGUUUGGAGUGAAAGAAGGAAGAGUUCAUGAGCCAAGGAAUGCAGGCAGCCUUUAGGAGGUGAAAUAGGCAGGAAAACAGAUUAUUCACUACAGUCUCUAGGAGAAAACAGACUUGACAUCUACUUGAUUUAUCUCACCUAGGGGUGUUUGCCAGCACCUCUACUAACACUACAUUAAUACAUUUGCAUUUCCCAAUGAAGAAGGUUGAAAGGUAUAAUGUAUAAUUUCCAUUUGGAUCUUCCCAUUAAUGUAAUACUCAUUUCCACUUUCUCUUCUAUUAUCUCUCUCAAUCAUUUCCCUAUGUUUCUAUCACCUUAGAGGUUUUGCUGCCAUAUUACUUGAUAGGAAAAUAACAAGUUUUAAUACAAGAUGUGUGAUAUGAGCCCAAUAUUGUAAUAAACAUUUAACCCUAUAUGUAUGUGUGCAUAAGUUACAUAUAUGUGUGUGUAUAUAUAUAUAUAUAUGCAUAUAUAUAAAAUGGGUAAAUACACAUAAUGUACACAGACAUAUAUAGAUGUUCAUGUACACCUGUAUCCACAUAUUAUCUUUAAAACGUAUUCCAAAAUGUAAGUAACUUCUUCUGGGAGAUGAGCUGUGAGAAGCAUAACAAAUUAUGUUACUUCUUAUUUCUUACAUUUCAAGUAGAAGACAGGAAAAGUGGUGAAUAUAAUUUAACAUAAGAUACUUAGUUGUCUAUUCUUUGGAGAUGACAUGAGGCUAAUUAUAUUUAGGACCAUAGCAUAAAAUUAUCAUCCCACUUAUGUUAAAAGUAAAAUAAUGUAGGAGAAGCUGAGAGAGAUUAAAUCUUUGUAAUUCUUCUUAGAAAUUUUGCCCAGCCAAGCAUGGUAGCUCAUGCCUGUAAUCCCAGCACUUUGGGAGUCCGAGAUGGGUGGAUCACUUGAGGUCAGGAGUUCAAGACUAGUCUGGCCAGCAUGGUGAAAUGCUGUCUCUACUAAAAAUACAAAAAUUAGCCUGGUAUGGGGGUUGGCACCUGUAAUCCCAGCUACUUGGGAGGCUGAAGCAGGAGAAUCACUUGAACCCUGGAGGUGGAGAUUGCAGUGAGCCAAGAUCAUGCCAUUGUACUCCAGCCUGGGCAACAAAAGCGAGACUACAUCUCAAAACAAACAAACAAACAAACAAAAACCAAAAAGAAAUUUUGUUUAUGUUUGAAGAGAGAAACAUGACAGAACACAUGAGCAGCGAUAUGAAAGCAUGUAUUUAUACUUCAUUACAUCAUUCUAAGUUGGAAACAUGAAGUAAUAAAAGUAAUCUGAUUCUUUAUUUAGAGAUAAAGUAAUGACACUUCAAAGUAACACCAGGCCAGGCGCAGUGGCUCACACCUGUAAUCCCAGCACUUUGGGAGGCUGAGGCAGGCAGAUCACAAGGUCAGGAGAUUAAGACCAUCCUGGCUAACACGGUGAAAACCCGUCUGUACUAAAAAUACAAAAAAUUAGCCAGGUGUGGUGGCAUGCACCUGUAAUCCCAGCUACUCAGGAGGCUGAGGCAGGAGAAUCACUUGAACCUGGGAGGCGGAGGUUAUAGAGAGCUGAGAUCACACCACUGCACUCCAGCCUGGGUGACAGAGCAAGACUUUGUCUCAAAAAAAAAGGAACACCAAUGUGGAUAUAAGAAUUCUAGCAUUUAAUGUCCAUUCCACCCUUUGACUGAUCCUCUGAAUAUUUCCCUAGAGGUUAGAGCUGCCCCUGGACACAGUUUCUCACUUUCAAAUCCAAUCCUCAAGUAACUCUAACACUCACCCAAAAUAGCUUCCCUACCCUCUUCCUCUUUGUCCUUUCUGUCCUUAUCAUUUUGAGAACCAGCAUGGCCUCCUGGAACUCUAUUUUCUUUAAUUUCUGACCUACAUUAUGCAUAAAAGAAGGAAGGUCUAAUAAACUGACUCAGCAAAUAAUAAUGCUUUUUAUUUAGAACAUGCAGAAAAGAAAUGCCUUUGAAUUAUAAUACACAAAUCAUAUUUCUCUAUUUAAUAAUAACAUAUUAAUAACUCAACAUUAGAUAAGUAUGAGCAUUAUGUGACAGUCAAUGCAACUGUUACAGAGUAUGGAGAAUAGCAGAUAUAUUU
rnacentral:lncRNA from 10 species